AACUGAUGCAUUUUCGCAGAGUUAAUUGAUUUGACCUGAAGGAAUCGUCAGUGUUGUCAGUAAAAUAUCAAACGCACGCGCGUUUAUGAAUAUUACACAUAAUGUUUUGUACUAUGAAUAUUAUAAUGCUUCUGAAAAAAUCACCUCAAGGACGAUGACGCACACUACUUCCUGAAUAAUACGGUCCGUGUUACGUCAUUGAUAAGACGUCACGUGUGCUUCGUGACACAGAUGACGAAACACGGUAAAAGGGAGUAAUUCAAAUGAUGGCGAAAAAGAAAGCUAGAUGACGUAAAAAUCAAAGAAGGAGGAUGAAGAAAAUGUCUUUCCGCUAAAAAAAAAAAGCAAAGAGGAAAUAAAUAAGAUCUAUAUAAUACAUAAAAUAAAUAAAAAUCUAAUAAAUAUAUAAAAUGUAAUAAACAGAAAAAUUUUAAACGACGAAAAACAAUGCAAAAAAGAAGAAUAGACGGGAUAGCGGUGGAGGAUAUGACGAAAAAAAUAUGAAACGUUAAAAAAAUGAAUACGAAAGAGAUCAACGAAGGUAGAAAUUAAAAUAAAAGAAGCAUAAAAGUAAUGACAAAAUGGAAGAUAUAAAAAUCAGUAAACAGCAAGAAUAUGAAGUGAGACAAUAGAGCGAAAAGAAGAAGAAAGAAACGUAGGGAUACUGAAAGACCAAAGUGAACAGAAAUAAAGGAGAUGGCAAAGCGAAAGAGAAACAAAGCCAUAAAUAUAGUGUGUGAAAAGAGAUGGUAAGUAAAAAGAAUAGCAGACAGGAGUGAAUGGGGGAAAUAAAUAUAAAGAGUACAAGAGAGAAAGACAAGAAAAAGAUGAGGGUUAAUGAGACGAAAAAUAAAAUGAGUGAAUAGGAAGGAUCGUGGGGGGGGGGGGGGGG